GCUACGGGCGGCAGCAGUAGGGAAUAUUGCUCAAUGGGGGAAACCCUGAAGCAGCAAAGCCGCGUGGAGGAUGAAGGUUUUCGGAUUGUAAACUCCUUUUGGUAGAGAAGAGAAUGACGGUAGCUAACGAAUAAGCACCGGCUAACACCGUGCCAGCAGCCGCGGUAAGACGGAGGGUGCAAGCGUUACUCGGAAUCACGGGGCGUAAAGAGCGCGUAGGCGGGAUAGCAAGUCAGAUGUGAAAUCCCAUGGCUUAACCAUAGAACUGCAUUUGAAACUGUUAUUCUAGAGUAUGGGAGAGGUAUGUGGAAUUCUUGGUGUAGGGGUAAAAUCCGUAGAGAUC
rnacentral:rRNA from 1 species